rnacentral:lncRNA from 1 species
AUGGAAACCCUGACAUUACUGAUAUCUCACUCCUCAUAUCAAUCUCUAUACAAGAAGAGUUUCAAAAGGAUGCACUUCAGCACUUCUAUCAGAAAGGCUGAACACCCUAAGAAAUCCCCAGUACCCACAUGUAUCUCAUUGGCAAAGGAAACCAGUAAGCUGAAGAAAAUGUGGGAAGAUUUGGGUAGAGCAAUUCCGGACAUGAAGAAACAUACCAGACAGUUGCUGAACUUGGAGAAACGUUCUGACCACCAUUUUAGGCUUUCCUCACCUCUACUGUCCUACCAAAACGAUACUGUGACUCCGUAACAACAACAACCACAAAAAUUACAAACACAAAAACCUAAAGUUAUAACUGUUUUUAAAAUUGGAACGUGUCCUAAACUUGAUAGAUAUUGGCCUAAAACCACUUUUAGGAGGCAUAUUCCCAUGCGGCUCUCUAUUGUAUUGUGUGCAUAGAACUUUUCAGAACCACUGCUGAAGAAAUGGUUAAAUAAAGAAUUUUGCUGCUCCUGUUUUACUACUUUA